GGACGGCCCUGGGAGGGAGCAGGAGGAGGGGCCGGAAGCCUGGAAGGGAAAGGACAGCGGAGAGCAGGGCAGAGCCUGAGCAGGCAGGGCACCUCCAGGUGGGCAGGAGCUACCACUCAGCACCAUGAGCACCGCCACAGGCCCAGAAGCUGCCCCGAAGCCAAGCGCCAAGUCUAUCUAUGAGCAGAGGAAGCGUUACUCCACAGUUGUUAUGGCUGAUGUAUCCCAGUACCCAGUCAAUCACCUGGUGACGUUCUGCCUGGGUGAGGACGAUGGCGUGCAUACCGUGGAGGAUGCCUCCAGGAAGUUGGCCGUCAUGGAUAGCCAGGGCCGAGUCUGGGCACAGGAGAUGCUGCUGCGAGUGUCUCCCGACCAUGUCACGCUGCUCGACCAGGCCUCCAAGGAGGAGCUGGAGUCGUACCCACUGGGCGCCAUCGUGCGCUGUGACGCGGUGAUGCCACCCGGCAGGAGCCGCUCGUUGCUGCUGCUCGUGUGCCAGGAACCCGAGCGCGCGCAGCCCGACGUGCACUUCUUCCAGGGCCUGCGCCUCGGGGCGGAGCUGAUCCGAGAGGACAUCCAGGGGGCUCUGCACAAUUACCGCUCGGGCCGCGGGGAACGCAGGGCGGCGGCGCUCAGGGCCACGCAGGAGGAGUUGCAGCGCGACCGCUCGCCCGCCGCUGAGACCCCGCCCCUGCAGCGCCGCCCGUCAGUCCGCGCAGUGAUCAGCACCGUAGAGCGGGGCGCGGGCCGCGGACGACCCCAGGCGAAGCCCAUUCCCGAGGCAGAGGAGGCGCAGAGGCCUGAGCCGGUGGGGACCUCGAGCAACGCUGACUCGGCCUCCCCGGACCUGGGUCCCCGGGGUCCUGACCUGGCGGUUCUGCAGGCGGAGCGAGAAGUGGACAUCCUGAACCACGUGUUCGACGACGUAGAGAGCUUUGUAUCGAGGCUGCAGAAGUCGGCGGAGGCGGCCAGGGUGCUGGAGCACAGGGAACGCGGCCGCAGGACCCGGCGCCGGGCGGCUGGGGAGGGCCUGCUGACGCUGCGGGCCAAGCCGCCCUCGGAGGCCGAGUACACCGACGUGCUGCAGAAGAUCAAGUACGCCUUCAGCCUGCUGGCCCGGCUGCGCGGCAACAUCGCCGACCCCUCCUCUCCGGAGCUGUUGCACUUCCUUUUCGGGCCUCUGCAGAUGAUUGUGAACACGUCGGGGGGGCCGGAGUUCGCGAGCAGUGUUAGGCGGCCGCACCUGACGUCGGAUGCCGUGGCGCUGCUGCGGGACAACGUCACUCCACGUGAAAACGAGCUCUGGACCUCGUUGGGGGACUCGUGGACCCGCCCCGGGCUGGAGCUGCCCCCGGAAGAGGGACCCCCAUACAGACCCGAGUUCUUCAGCGGCUGGGAGCCGCCGGUCACUGACCCGCAGAGCCGCGCCUGGGAGGACCCAGUUGAGAAACAGCUACAGCACGAGCGGAGGCGCUGGCAGCAAAGCGCCCCCCAGGUCGCUGUCAAUGGUCACCAAGACUUGGAGCCAGAAUCUGAGCCUCAGCUGGAGUCAGAGACAGCAGGAAAAUGGGUCCUGUGUAAUUAUGACUUCCAGGCCCGCAACAGCAGUGAGCUGUCGGUCAAGCAGCGGGACGUACUGGAGGUCCUGGAUGACAGUCGUAAGUGGUGGAAGGUUCGGGACCCAGCGGGGCAGGAGGGAUAUGUGCCCUACAACAUCCUGACACCCCACCCCGGACCCCGGCUGCACCACAGCCAAAGCCCUGCCCGCAGCCUGAACAGCACUCCUCCUCCGCCACCAGCCCCAGCCCCGGCCCCACCUCCAGCUCCGGCUCGGCCCCGCUGGGACAGCUGCGAUAGCCUCAACGGCUUGGACCCCAGCGAGAAGGAGAAAUUCUCCCAGAUGCUCAUCGUCAACGAGGAACUGCAGGCGCGCCUGGCCCAGGGCCGCUCGGGUCCGAGCCGCACAGUCCCAGGGCUCCGCGCCCCGGAACCGCAGCUCAGCCCGGGCUCGGACGCCUCCGAGGUCCGCGCCUGGCUGCAGGCCAAGGGCUUUAGCUCCGGACUCCGACUGGAUCCUUAGGGAAAUCCCGCAUCCUUCGAAAGCAGGAUGCGGCCACGCCCCCCGGGUGGCAACAUUGUGAUUGGUGGGUGGGGUUCAGGAGGUGUCGGGCCUGCCCCCGCUAGAGCUGGAACGCUGUUCUGAUUGGACCAUCGCCGGGUGGGCGUGACAUGAUUGUCCGGGCUGGGGCCUCCGCCGACCGGCCUGACCGCGCCCGGGAUGCCCUCGCUCAGGACCGUGGACGCGCUGGGUGUGCUGACCGGGGCGCAGCUUUUCUCGCUGCAGAAGGAGGAGCUGCGGGCGGUGAGCCCCGAGGAGGGGGCACGUGUGUACAGCCAGGUCACCGUGCAGCGCGCGCUGCUGGAGGACAAAGAGAAAGUGUCAGAGCUGGAGGCAGUGAUGGAGAAGCAAAAGAAGAAGGUGGAAGGCGAGGUGGAAAUGGAGGUCAUUUGACCUGCCAGGCGCCCUUCGCAGAGUGACGAGGCCCCGUGGGAGAACGGACUCUUCAGACUCUCCCCAAUAGCGGAAGUCGAUCUUCUGAAGGAUGGCCAAUCUGCUCCGGCCCUGGUCUUCCCCCAUCCCGGUGGACAGACUUAACGAUCCUUGCUGCAGUCCCUCCGGAGAGGAUCUGGACUGGCUGGGAGUGGGGAGGGCGUGGAGACAGUCUACGGAAAGCGCUAGCAGACCCCCGAGAGGGUGCAGUGGAGCCCUGAGCAUUGUAAUAUGCCGCCCAGCCUAUAAACAGCCUCCUUGCUGAGCA